rnacentral:lncRNA from 1 species
GAGUUGAGUGGAAUGAUUAUAUCAAGGGCCAUGAGAAAAGGAUGGAGAACCAAAACUUCCCGGAAGGAAUAAGAGCUUGGAAGGAGUACUUGGAGGGGUUGACGGCGGACAAGAUAGUGUGGAAUUAUCAUUGGUUCCCCUCAAAAGAGGUGAUAUAUAUGUCUACUUUUCGACCCUUCAUCGUCUUAAUGGGUCUCCGAGGUGUUCAGCCCUACGUGCCACUAAGAGUCAUGCGACAAUUCGGUCGACGUCAGCAUAUACCGCCAGUCGAGGAUAUGAAAGAGUUCAUGUACGAAUUCCUCCCUGACAUCCCUCUAAGGAAGACUGAGAUACUUAAGAUCUGGGGAGGAUGUGUACUUUCGGGUUUCGAUCAUAUGGUGGAAGACCGCGACAAGGGCGAGGUAGACUAUUGGUAUCUUCCAUGGUUUCGUGACCAGCCUCCUCCUAAAGCUAUGCCAGAAAGGUCGGCCAGAGAGCCAGUGGAUCGAGAAGCGGAGAUCGAAGUCAGAAUUAAGCAGGCUCGACGAGAGGGAGAAGAGAACUAUCAGUCUACUCUGCACGUCUUAAAUAAUGAUUUGGAAAGGGCUCGAGAAGAAUUGGUUCACCAUGAGGCAAAAUUUGAGGCCAGAAUUAGGUCGGUUCGUAAGGAGAUUGAGAGAGAGAACCGUGUUGCCAUGCAUGCCCUACAUGAAGACCUGGAUAUUGUCACCGGUGCUAUGGAGCAACAAUCGAGUGAUUUUGAGAAAGAGAAGGCCUCGCUGAUAAGUACACAGUCGAAGCUUCAGGCUCAGCUAAAAGCUUCCAUGGAACGGGAAAGAGAAAUAGCGAGACGCUUCACGACUUUUCAGAAGGAAGUUGAAGCUAAGGAAAAUCAGUGGAUGACCGAACGACAGGCGCUUCACUAUCAGAUAGAUGACCUUCAUGAACGAGAAGAAGACCUAAAGCAUACCGUCCGCACUACGCAACAUUGGGUGCAAAACUGCCAUGAAAGUAUGAUCGAGGCCAGGGGAGAAGUACUUCAGCUCAGUGAAACCUUGAUUAAUAUUUAUGCUAAGUAUCUUCACCAAGGCGAUGAAAAUCUGGGCCGUCAGGCACGUGCUCUCGCUCCAUAUCUGCCAAAAGCAUUAUCCAGGAUCUACUCAAGUCUGAGGGAGGAUUAAGUUGCAAGACAUCUUUGGAAGGCAUCUUGAUGAUAAUUAUUAAAGUCCUUGUUUCCUUAGAAUUAGUUUCUUUAUAACUCGCUCCAUAUCUACCAAAAGCAUUAUCCAGGAUCUACACAAGUCUAAGGGAGGAUUAAGUUGCAAGACAUCUUUGGAAAGCAUCUUGAUGAUAAUUAUUAAAGUCCUUGUUUCCUUAUAAUUAGUUUCUUUAUAGGUUUUUUAGUAUUUCUCCA